GAAAUUGAUCUCCCCGUGCAGAAGCGGGGAUACCGACAUAAGACGAGAAGACCCUAUGGAGCUUUAGACACAAUGGUGGAUCAUGUUAAGAACCCUCUACCAAGAGGUAAAACCCAUUGAAACCUGCCCUGAUGUCUUUGGUUGGGGCGACCGCGGGGAACCAAAUAACCCCCGAGUGGAGCAAGAGUACUACACUCUCAAACCCGAGAGCCACAGCUCUAAGCAACANNAUUUCUGACCUUACAGAUCCGGCACAGCCGAUUAACGGACAGAGUUACCCUAGGGAUAACAGCGCAAUUCCCUUCUAGAGCCCAUAUCGACAAGGGGGUUUACGACCUCGAUGUUGGAUCAGGACAUCCUAAUGGUGCAGGCCGCUAUUAAGGGUUCGUUUG
rnacentral:rRNA from 1 species